AGUGGAUGGGGAGCAACAAAAGUUGUGUGUGUGUAAAGGUAGUGCCAAGAAAAGCUGAGUUGAUGUUGAACAAAAGAUUCCGGUACCCGAAACAGACACAGGUAGGCAAGUAGAGAAUACUAAGGGGCGCGAGGUAACUCUCUCCAAGGAACUCGGCAAAAUGACCCCGUAACUUCGGGAGAAGGGGUGCCACCGAGAGGUGGUCGCAGUGAAGAGUCCCAGGCGACUGUUUAGCAAAAACAUAGGUCUCUGCAAACUCGAAAGAGGAGGUAUAGGGGCUGACGCCUGCCCAGUGCCGGAAGGUUAAAGAAGUUGGUCAGUCGAAAGAUGAAGCUAACGACUGAAGCCCCGGUGAACGGCGGCCGUAACUAUAACGGUCCUAAGGUAGCGAAAUUCCUUGUCGGGUAAGUUCCGACCCGCACGAAAGGCGUAACGAUCCGGGAGCUGUCUCGGAGAGAGGCUCGGCGAAAUAGGAUUGUCUGUGAAGAUACGGACUACCUGCAUUUGGACAGAAAGACCCUAUGAAGCUUUACUGUAGCUUGGAAUUGUGUUCGGGCUUGCUGUGCGCAGGAUAGGUGGGAGGCUAUGAAGGUAUGCUUGUGGGUGUACUGGAGCCGUCAGUGAGAUACCACUCUCAGGGGGCUAGAAUUCUAACUAAAGAAAGGACAGUUUCAGGUGGGCAGUUUGACUGGGGCGGUCGCCUCCAAAAAGGUAACGGAGGCGUACAAAGGUUCCUUCAGACUGGUUGGAAAUCAGUCGCAGAGUGCAAAGGCAGAAAGGAGCUUGACUGCGAGAAUUACAGUUCGAGCAGGGUGGAAACACGGUCUUAGUGAUCCGACGGUGCUGUGUGGAAGGGCCGUCGCUCAACGGAUAAAAGUUACUCUAGGAUAACAGGCUGAUCUCCCCCAAGAGUUCACAUCGACGGGGAGGUUUGGCACCUCGAUGUCGGCUCAUCGCAACCUGGGGCGGAAGUACGUCCCAAGGGUUGGGCUGUUCGCCCAUUAAAGCGGUACGUGAGCUGGGUUCAGAACGUCGUGAGACAGUUCGGUCCAUAUCCGAUGUAGGCGAGAGAAUAUUGAGAGGAGCCUUCCUUAGUACGAGAGGACCGGGAAGGACGCACCUCUGGUGUACCUGUUAUGAUGCCAAUUGUAAACGCAGGGUAGCCAAGUGCGGAGAGGAUAACCGCUGAAAGCAUCUAAGUGGGAAGCCCACCUCAAGAUGAGUAUUCUGUGUUAAGGUCACGGGAAGACGACCCGUAAAUAGGCACGAGGUGGAAGUACAGUAAUGUAUGAAGCCGAAGUGUACUAAUAGACCGUCAGCUUGACC
rnacentral:rRNA from 1 species